rnacentral:lncRNA from 1 species
AGCCAGGGAAUCUGUGAGCUUAGGAAUCCUUUACAAAUGGCAGUAUUUUAUCCAGUCACCAAUGCCAUGGAAUAACAAAACUAUUGUUCCCCAUUGAAAAGGAAGGUGGUGCCAUCUAUCACAUAUACCACCAGCCAUGAUACACCCCUCCUAAAGAGCAGUUUGAUGUUAUGUAAUGCAGUCAUAGUCCUGGAACUUGUUUGUGUAUGAUAGAAUCUCCUAGAAUAAACAUAGAAAAAAAUUAAAAGUUUAUUUAGCUUAAGAUCAAAAUACCGUCAGUAGGGCUGGGGAGUUAGCUCAGUGGGUUGGAAUAUGGAAGGUGGAAAUGGGAAAAUCACCCAGAAGCUCACGGGCCCGAUAGAUCUGCUGGAGUGCACAGGCCAGCAGCAGAAACCAAGAGAGACUGUCUCAAACAAAUUCCUAAAAAGAUGUCUUAUGUACGCAAUGUGGCACAAACAUGUACAUACAUAUACAUUCAGAUUAAACAUUUAAAAUAUGGCCAGUUUAAUUCAACAAAACUACUUGCAAAAUGUAAUUUAAAAAUAUCACUUAUGGUAGCAUAUACCUUAAAUGUUAUCACAAAAUGUUUUUAAAAUACCCUUUAUAGCCAGAUGGUAGUGGCACACACCUUAGAUCCCAGUGCCUGGGAGGCAGGGGCAGUUGGAUCUCUACAGAUCAAGUUCCAGGACAGCCAGGGCUGUUAACAUGGAAACCUUGUCUCAAACAACAACAAGAAGACAUUUACAGUAACAAAAUAGGAAGCACAUGGGGUGUUUAGGAACAAAUUCUCAGAUGGACAAGUUAACUGUACUCAGUGCAGAAAGUUAAAAGGCUCAGUGUUAGUUUAGUUCUCUUAUAGUUUUAAUGUUAAGUGAAAUUCCAGUCAAAACUUCCUUCUCUCCCCAACUUCUUUUUGAGUCAGGGUCUUUCUGUAUUUAAAAAAAAAAAAACUGUAUGUAUGUGUUUGCCUUUGUGUGUGUGUGUGUGUAUCACAUGAAUGCUGCUGCCUUCGGAAGUCAGUGUUGAAUCCCCUGGAACUGGAAUUAGAUGUGCAUAAUUAUGAGCCACUGUGUGAAUGCUAGGAAUCAAAUCUGUGUCUUCUGCAAGAGCAACCAAGGGCUCCUAACUUCUGAGCCUUCCCUCCAGCUCUGUGUACACAUGCACGCGCGCGCGCACACACACACACACACACACACACACACACACACACGAAUACAUUUUGGUUAUAUUGUUAUCCUUCCCAUCUCCCUAACAACCCAACUUCAUAUUUUCCUCUUUCAAAGAACAAAAACACAGGGAAAACUCUAAUAAGGGAAAUAAGACAAAACAAAAAGCACAUAGAGGAAAAAGUUGUAGCCUUUUGUUGUUGUUGGCUAAUUUUCUGGACAUGUGGCCUGUCCUUGGAGAGAGUGGUUGAUACACAUACCCAGUGACACUGAAUUGGAGAGAACUGGUUUCAACUUUCCCUGCAAGUAUCAAUUGCAAAUAGCUCCUUGGAUAGGGAUGGACUUCAUGUCUGCUUACCUUCUCAGUGUUGGGGUUGCGUGUGAUUUGAACCUGUGUAAAUCCUGUCCAGUGGCUCUUAGAGAACAGGGUUGCUAGACUUUAGAGAGGAAAGUGAAAAGCCAAGAUUAACGACAGUGCUCAUGAAGAAGAGCAGCAGUUGCCUGAACAUUUCACUACUUGCUGCAGAACUGUGAAGAUUAAAGUUGUGUGAUUGUGGGCACGGCCUGGUCCCAAGCUCUCACAGUGUACUUCCACAUGAGAGAUGUCCGAACUACUUGCAGUGGCCAGUUCUAGGACUGGAGCGGGAAAUUGGACCAUGUGGGGACACGUAAAAAGGCAUGCCUCCUGGCCAGCUCUGAGACAGGGCUUAAAAACAAAUGACAGCAGUGUAUUAGUGCACAUUGGAGAGAGAAUAACAGCUGUCAGGUCCACGGUAGGACCUGCUGUGAAUAUAGCUGUGGUUUUCUUCAGAGAAGACUGCAUCUAAGCAGUAGUAGCUCCCAGAGCUAUUAGUGAGACUGUGUGGAUAAGGGGCUCCCCUGACACUCUUGCCCUCUUAGAAGGAGCUCUUUGCAGGACGGCUGAGAAGGAACACCACCUGUCUGGGCAGUUUGUUGUGCACUGAUGUCAUAAUCUCCAUGUUCUCACACCUGUCUUCAUUAAGCUGAGUCUGGAUCUGUUUUCAGAUGUCUGCUUGCUUCACUUUGUCUUUUCCAUGAUGGUGUGAGCCUGCUGAGCAGUGCACAGGGCACUCCGGUUGACUUUUGCUCUGCUUUAGCCGUUUCUUCUACAGAUUUUGGAGUUCAUUGGUCUUUACAAUGCUUAAUCUGCUUGGGUUUUUUUUCCGCUUAGAGUUUUCAACUUUUAUUGUUAGAGAGUGUGUGUGUGUGUGUGUGUGUGUGUGUGUGUGUCUUUCCUUAACUUUCUUGACAUGGAAUUUAGUUCUGUUUAAUAAGAACGUUUUCUUUUGCAUUAUUGUGUUUUAAUCUGAGUCUCUCACAUGCUAGGCAACCCCUCCACUACUGAGGUUUGUCCCUAUCACUUUUUUGUUUCUAUUUUGAAACAUGAUUUCAAUAAGUUGCCCAGGCUGGUCUAGAACUCACUCUGUAGUCCUAACAAGCUUUGAACUUGUGAUCUUCUUGCCUCAGUUUCCUAAGUAGCUGGAAUGAGAGCCCCUUGGCAUAUAUUUCAUUCUAAUUUUUAAGGCCCUUCUCUUCCUGCUGUAAUAUGUGAGCCCGUUUCUCCAUGCUUUUACAAUAUAUCUCCCAACUUUUGGUGCCAACGUUGAGAUCUUACCCCUGUGUAUUGGGUAUUUCUGUCAUACACAUUCUUUCUGGGCUAAAGUCAAGUUCCAUUGGUCUUUUUAGUUAUGUUUUUUAUGGUGACACUUGGGCAUGUGGUGGGGGGGUCGUUCAGGCAUCAGCAGCAUCUUUCUGAGCACCAUCUUCUCUUGAGUUACAUUAGUACUGGAGUGAAUUGAGUCUCUUAUUGUAGCACUGCUAGAAGCAAAAGUGACUUCUGCACGUAAACACUUGUUGUUACUGUUAAGACAAAGUCUCAGUAUGUAGCGUUGCACUUUGACACUUUUAUAGGAUAAUAAUGGGAUCUAGGGUCAGGAAUAAUUUCAUAGAGAAAAAUGCUAAAAGCACGCAGGACAGGCAUGUCCAUGUCGCACUUGAGAGACAGCAGAAGAAUCUAACUCCAGCCCAGACUGGAUAUGUUAGGAAGACCAUAUCUCAAGAGGAAAAAAAUGCUGACAUUAUUAUUCACCACAAAAAGAUACUUGCCUCACACAAAACCACAAAAUCGUUUUUCUGAUCCUGUAAUAAAUAGGAAGGUUGUAUCGUUAU